ACUGAGACACGGCCCAAACUCCUACGGGAGGCAGCAGUAGGGAAUCUUCCACAAUGGGCGAAAGCCUGAUGGAGCAACGCCGCGUGGGUGAAGAAGGUCUUCGGAUCGUAAAACCCUGUUGUUAGAGAAGAAAGUGCGUGAGAGUAACUGUUCACGUUUCGACGGUAUCUAACCAGAAAGCCACGGCUAACUACGUGCCAGCAGCCGCGGUAAUACGUAGGUGGCAAGCGUUAUCCGGAUUUAUUGGGCGUAAAGGGAACGCAGGCGGUCUUUUAAGUCUGAUGUGAAAGCCUUCGGCUUAACCGGAGUAGUGCAUUGGAAACUGGGAGACUUGAGUGCAGAAGAGGAGAGUGGAACUCCAUGUGUAGCGGUGAAAUGCGUAGAUAUAUGGAAGAACACCAGUGGCGAAAGCGGCUCUCUGGUCUGUAACUGACGCUGAGGUUCGAAAGCGUGGGUAGCAAACAGGAUUAGAUACCCUGGUAGUCCACGCCGUAAACGAUGAAUGCUAAGUGUUGGAG
rnacentral:rRNA from 1 species